GUCGAGAGGCUUUGUCAAUGGGGGAAACCCUGAACAAGCGACGCCGCGUGAGGGAUGAAGGCCUUUGGGUUGUAAACCUCUGUUGCUCGGGAAGAAACGCCGGUGGGUGAAUAAUCCGCCGGCUUGACGGUACCGGGUGAGGAAGCUCCGGCUAACUCCGUGCCAGCAGCCGCGGUAAUACGGGGGGAGCAAGCGUUGUUCGGAAUUACUGGGCGUAAAGGGCGCGUAGGCGGUCAGGUAAGUGAGGUGUGAAAUCCUCCGGCUCACCCGGAGACACGCAUUUCAUACUGCUUGACUAGAGUUCGGGAGAGGAAACGGGAAUUCCAGGUGUAGCGGUGAAAUGCGUAGAUAUCUGGAGGAACACCGGUGGCGAAGGCGCGUUUCUGGCCCGAUACUGACGCUGAGGCGCGAAAGCCAGGGGAGCAAACGGGAUUAGAUACCCUAGUAGUCC
rnacentral:rRNA from 1 species